rnacentral:rRNA from 1 species
GUGUCACUUUUGCUCGUACUACCAUUGGCAGGUCAUGCCAUAGGACCGUUGGACGCACCGGCUGGUUGGGAGCGAGCCCUUACACAACGUUUUCAUGGUGUUUUUCCGGAUGCUCCGGAUCCGGUAUGGGAGCAUCACGGACCUAAGUAUGAGUGGUUGCUCAAUUUCCGGAUCCAAAACUUCCGGGCGCCGUUGACUGCGGAACAGAUCACUCGGAGCCUGGAGGCCUACUUAAUGUGGCUUUUCGGCAAGGUGAUGUUCACAGAGAACCAUGUCACCACUAUUAGCGCGCUCUACAUACCUAUGGCACUCGAGAUAGUGAGCGCUCAGACGGCGGAUCAGAUCAGACAGAGGAGUUGGGGUUCGGCGGUCUUAGCGGCUACAUACCGAGGUAUGUGCAACGGUUGCCAGCUUACAUCGAGAAAGCCAGCCCUUCUUGGAUGCCCUCUAUUCCUACAACUA